ensembl:snRNA U1 U1 spliceosomal RNA
CUACUUACCUGGCAGAGGAUACACAAUGAUCACAAAAGUGAUUUUCCCUGAGUGUGGCUUAUCCACAGCACUGCAGAUGUGCUGACCCCUGUGAUUUCCCCAAAUGUAGGAAACUUGCAUAAUUUGUGGUAGUGGGGGACUACAGUAGCACUCUCCCCUC